rnacentral:misc_RNA from 1 species
GAAGUGCGAUAAGCAAUGCGAAUUGCAGAAUUCCGCGAAUCAUCAGAUCUUUGAACGCAAAUGGCGCCGGAGGGAUAUCCUUUCGGCAUGUCUGUUUCAGUGUCUGAGAGGUUUCAAACAUAUCUUAAUGUGAUUGACGAGUUGGUUAUGGAGAGUGCUUCGGUGCUACCCAUACUACCAAUACUCAUCUCUCAUGAAAGAUGCGUGAGUGGAUCUUUCGGUCCAAUGAAGUGGUCACAUCACUCGCAUGUGAUUUCAUUGGGAAAUCACCGAAUUAUCCGUAUACUCACGGUACCAAAACUAAAAAACUUCCAUACCCUGCAUCUGAGAUAGGCAAGAUCACCCGCUGAACUUAA